CCUACGGGAGGCUGCAGUGAGGAAUAUUGGUCAAUGGACGAGAGUCUGAACCAGCCAAGUAGCGUGAAGGAUGACUGCCCUUUGGGUUGUAAACUUCUUUUAUAUGGGAAUAAAAUGUUCCACGUGUGGGAUUUUGUAUGUACCAUAUGAAUAAGGAUCGGCUAACUCCGUGCCAGCAGCCGCGGUAAUACGGAGGAUCCGAGCGUUAUCCGGAUUUAUUGGGUUUAAAGGGAGCGUAGGUGGAUUGUUAAGUCAGUUGUGAAAGUUUGCGGCUCAACCGUAAAAUUGCAGUUGAAACUGGCAGUCUUGAGGACAGUAGAGGUGGGCGGAAUUCGUGGUGUAGCGGUGAAAUGCUUAGAUAUCACGAAGAACUCCGAUUGCGAAGGCAGUUCACUGGACUGCAACUGACACUGAGGCUCGAAAGUGUGGGUAUCAAACAGGAUUAGAUACCCGAGUAGUC
rnacentral:rRNA from 1 species